rnacentral:lncRNA from 1 species
UAUGAGCUCCAGAAGCCAGGCUGCUCGCUCUGCUGUACAUCGAGAGGGGAGGGAAAUGCAGUCCUGAUAUGAACUGUAAAAUCGAUUGUUUAACAGAGCUGGUCUUUGUGGCUGGGGCCUGGUGCCAAGGUUCUUCCCGCAGAACACCGGAGACCCUUUUGAGGUGUAAGAAAACCCCUUUCCCCCUCAUAUCGAAAAUGGGCCGCCUGAAUUUAUCCUGAGUACAAGGCAAGAAGAAUCAUUUCCCCAACCCCCCCCCCCCCCCCCCCCCCCCCGAGCAUUUUCUCUGCCCUGAGUACUCAGAACACAAAUAAAAGAAUCUGCAUUUCACUCAUUCCUGUCUCAAGUACCAAAUUAUGGUUUGCAGCAGUAGCUCUAAACCCCAUCCUGAUAUUGUGCACGGAAAUCCCAAGCACCUCUCCUUCCAUAUGUUUGGGAAUCCUCUCUGAAAUAUCCAGCCAUAGUUUCAGACAAAGGAGUUUUGAAAUUUGGGUAAAUUCAGAAAGGUAUAUCCCAGGAUACACCUUCAAGAUAACUCUUUAGGAUUCUAUGUUACUAUAGUGUAGGAUAAUAAAAUGUAAGAAUACAGUCCUGAGUGUUUUGGUGAAACCCCUUGGCAGUGAAUAUGGAAAGGUUUAAUUGAAAUGAUUUCUGAAUAGAGUUAACUUGUGUAUAGAUAAAGCCUUUUCUCAGCUCUAAGUGGCUUUAAAACACCUGUAAUUAAAGUACAACAUCCUCCUGGUUAUUUCAUGCUGCUGUAAGUACCUUUAUACAGAUAUUGAAACAGCCAUAGCAGGGUUUAUACAGAUAUAAACCAGCUGUACGUGGGCCAGCCCUGAAGUCAACCACUGCAAUUAACCUUACGCCACCAUUCUCCAUUUUAUUGUUAAGCAGUUGGCUAAAUGUAUUUGGUAAAAUGUCUUGCGAAGAAAUCAUGUUUACGAGUACUUUGGGCCAGUCUCUUGCCUGGUUUCAAAAAUUAUUUCUUUUUAAUUAUCAGGGCGCAUCCCUGUUCCUUAGGAGGCUUCGUGAUUUAGAGUACGGUACAGGAGGAAGUUGCUCGUCAGGUCUCGACACAGGACAGAAAGACAGCGUGUUCUGAGCAGGCAGCCUCACCGUGCCCGUGAACGUCCUUGCCAUCAAAUCCCUCCUCUUUUUCUGCUCAGAGCAGAAAACUCCUCUGUGAAGUAGGGUGACAAGUUUCCAGCGAGCCUGGGAUCGCGGGGAGGGCGAACGCCGAUAUCCCCGCGGUGUAAGGUAUGCACAUCUCGCCUCGUGCAGCCCAGGAGCAGGGCAGAGCCCAUUUUUCCUUCUCUCCUUUUUUUUGGAUCUGCGGGCACACACGCUCCCUCGCACGACGGAGCCGGCACGGCGAUAGUACGGUGCGAUACGAAUCGCAGGAAUUGAGUCAGCGCAGCUCUGCGGGGUGAUCUGUUCCCCUGCCGGGCUGCCACGCUGCUGGGGUGACCGGGAACGAUUUAUUACGGCCUGGGCCAACCCCGCUCUCCCUCCUUGCACCCCAUAAAGCCGCCAGGCCAGGGGCUGGGCACCCAGCUUCGCACCAAGGCUGGAUUACAGCCCCAAAGAUUUCUUCCAGGGGUGAAGCUAUGCUGGGAACGUGUCCCCCUUCCCCCAAUAAAUAAGAAAUAAAUCAGGAAAAUAAAUAAUAA